GCAUAGAAGCUGCACGGGGUGGUGGAUGCUCCAGGUCCCCAUGUCCCUUCUGCUCCUGGCCCUUUGUGAAGCUCAACUAUGUUCCCUGUGCUGUCCACCUGCUCCUCAGGAGUUGGGGUCCAGCCAGAUUCUCAGCGGCUUAUUGUAUUCUGCACGUUUGCUUGCUGGCUCUUUAGAUUCGAAUUUCAUUCCGAAUUCCUAGCUCCGAGGUCUCCACUGCGACGGUGCCGGCCGCCCUUGAGUAGGUUGGGAACUGGCUCCGCGGAUUGGGUUCUUCGUCCAAAGUGCGGAAGAAAGCGGAGCGGCCAAGUCCUGCAUCUGGAGGCAAGGUGCCCAGGUGCCCGGAGGCGAGCGCAGUCCAGAGGGCACUGGGCACCAGACGGCGAGCGGGAGGGAGAGAUGAGGGGAUGAAGUUCCAGAAGGAGGGGAUGAUAGGAGAGCAGAGAAGGAAGAAAGCAAGAAUGCGGGGGGGGGGGGGGCCCUCGGGGUUCCAGCGGCCUCUGUAAGUUCCCAGCUUGUGCACAUCUGCUCUAAACAGGAUUUUCUGGGAAGCCGCAAGCUGCUUGCCUGGCGUUGGGUUUUCCUCCUUUGGCUUAGAGGGGCGAGGUGGGGCUCCUUGGUUUGCUAGCGCUGGGAAGCUAAGGCAGCGGCCUCGCUGGCUCCUAUGGAGCUGACUGGCAGGAAGAGAAGCACACACGCCAGGUUCUCUUGUAAGCUGGACUCUGCGAUGGAAAAAUACGAAUACCCGCAUUUAGAGGUGAAGAGAUAGGCGAAUAAGGGUUGCUUGGCCGAAAUUCAUUAUCCAUAGAGAGAAGAAAUCUAGGAGGGGAUGAAAAGAUUCUUAUUUUUUACAACAAGCUUGGAACACAUGUAACUUUGAGAAAAAUGUAAUGUAAAUAAAAACUCAUCCCUUUGUAUAUAUAAAAAUUUAAAACAAAUCGUUUGUAUUUUGCACCAAAAUUUUUAUAGCCCCAUGUAUUGCAUUUGUACAGUCUGUUUUGUAUCCUGUGUAGGAUGAGGCUCAGGACACACUAGCCUCAAACAGGAUACCUGGGCAUAGUGAAUAUUUUCAGCUGAAACAAUUUGUGCAAA
rnacentral:lncRNA from 1 species